UACGGAGGGGGCUAGCGUUGUUCGGAAUUACUGGGCGUAAAGAGCGCGCAGGCGGUCGUUCAAGUCGCGUGUGAAAGCCCCCGGCUCAACUGGGGAGGGUCACGCGAUACUGAUCGACUCGAAGGCAGGAGAGGGAAGUGGAAUUCCCCGGUGUAGUGGUGAAAUGCGUAGAUAUCGGGAGGAACACCAGUGGCGAAGGCGACUUCCUGGCCUGUUCUUGACGCUGAGGCGCGAAAGCUAGGGGAGCAAACGGG
rnacentral:rRNA from 1 species